GGGCGGACAUCCAGUCGGACACGUACGUGCUGCUGGAGCCCGGGAUGGAGGAGGAGUUCGUGUCCAAGGAGGAGCUGGAGGCCAGGCUGAGGGGGUGGCUGGAGAGGUGGCCGGGGGACGAGCUGCCGCCGGACCUGGCCGUGUUCGACACGCUGGACGACGCCGUCUCGUACCUCGUCAGGUCCGUGUGCGAGCUCGAGAUCGACGGCGAGGUCGGGUCUGUGCAGUGGUACCAGGUUCAGCUGGAAUAGCAAACCACUACUUGCGUGGCGCAUCGUUUCUGUAACGAGUUUUGGCCCCCGAAUUUUUUUUUUGCCUUUUGGCAGGCAGGCAUAUGAAUGAAUUCUAUGGGAAUUUUCAGAGAAAUUGCUCGCUUUGCGUUGGAAAGUCGAAACGGGUCAUAAUUAAAAUCGAUCCUCUGAGCCGACGGCCAUAGGAAAAACAUAUGGAGGAGAGAAGAGAACAGCUGGCUGGGUCAGCGCAGGCCAGUCACAGUCAGUGCGGUGCGAAAGCUCGCCCUUCUUCCUCCGUUUUUCCACAGGGGGUCGGGAGACGAAACUGAAGAAAACCGGAGGGGGUCAGGCGUCAGCUCGACCGCUGGAUGGAGCCUGACUUUCCCGGCAGACGGGAGAGAGAGAGAGACCCCCGGGUCACGGCAGCAUCCGUUCCGAUUCCAUUCCACGGACAAUUGCGUUUUCCGCAGUCUCUCUCUCUCGGCUCUCGCUCUCCCUGGCCGUCGCCGUCGCUCCCCUCGGGUUGACUUGACUUCCACACACACACACACACAUACCUCCCUCCCCUGGCCACUCCAAUCCCGUUUUCUUUUGCUCUUCUUCUCCUCUCCCUCUCUCUCUCCCCGGUGCUUUGUCAGCCCCCUACGCCCCCCUCGACCGAGUCCGCAAUCUUGGAUUGCGCCGGUGGACUCGAGCACGGCCGCGGGCGGUGAGUCGUCCUUAUAUUCUUCUCUUGCUAUGCUUAUGUAGGCUGUAGCAGGGUUUCUGCUUUCUCGUACUGAAGCCAGGGUUUCUUGAUAUUCACCUUUUUUUUCUUCUCAUGUACUAGUUAGUUAAUUUCGUCCGAUUUUAAACCUUGGAACUGGUUUCCAGAUUAUCUGUGCUUGGUGUUAGAUUUUCUUCUUCCGGUGGAGAAAAUCUUUCCAAUUAGGGGCAACUGGUGGAAGAACUCUGGCCUAAUCCGUUAAGAGGUAAAUAUUGGACGAACCUCUUCUCUACUGUACCAUUUUAGAUGCUGUUAUAGUCUAUUUCAAGAAAUCCAAUCCUUUUGUAGCUUAUCAUUUGUUGGCACUUUUUUUUUUGGAAAAGCCACUAUGUCCCAAUUGGCAGCAUACUUAACGUCCUAUGGGGAUGCUAAAAAAAGGUGUUCCAAAAAUACAGACGAAUCAUCUUUUUUUUUUUGCGGGUGGAAUUAUCUGUUUUUUGUGGUUGAUGUGAGACGAAUUACCUUGAUGAAUCAUUCAAAGCUCAAAGUUGAUAAGCUGUUUCAUUUGGGGAGCAAGUGACAAGUUGUGUCCCUAUUAAUAGCCUUCGUGGCAUAUUAUCUAAUCAAAUCCAACCUUGAAAUUAAGUAUAUUCAAGUUUUCAACUUAUUUUCAUAAGAGAUAAAGAGAAUCAAGCGUUUAAAAGCCAGCAAGGAGAAAAGGGAGAAUUUGUUUUAUUAUUGAUGUUUUAUUAUAAGCUUAAACUGUGAGGUCACAGUCACACGCUACUGCUACCAUGCUAGUAACCGUGUUAUGACUUCACUGUGUAUCAGUUUCUCGAUGUACUCUAAUGAAUCUGUUUUGUUAAUUUAGCUCACAGUCCCUACUUUGUUUGUUCAUUAACGUUUCCCAUGUCUUAGAUACUUUUCAUGAUUUGAUCUUCAUUAACUUUUAAGUGUUCUUCAUUUUAAGUUUUUCAUAUUUGGAGUUGAACUUGACCUUUGUAUAAACAUGUGAAGCAGGCAUAUAAAUCUACACAAUGAUGGCUGCUGAGUUAGUUAAGCAGUGUUCAAACAUCACCCUGGGAGAAGAAACAGACAUGUGUAGUAUUAGAUAUGAUCUCAAGGCAUUGCGGAAGAAGAUCCUUAGUUUGGAUUUCCAAAACUCUAUACAUGUUCAUGAUCCACAGAACUCAUUUGAGUACUUAGAAGUUCUGUACAAAAUUCGGCAACUGUCUGAGAGGUUAGGGAACUUGGACCCUGGUGAAGAAGCCAAAGAGCACAAGGAACUCACUGUAUAUGCUGAUGAACUUUUUGAAAUGGCAAUGGCAACGCUUGAAGAGGAGUUCUUUUACCUUCUUACACACUACAAACAACCAUUAGAACAGGAACUUCUCUCCUUCCGUUCUACAGAGGAUGGUAGCACAGAUGAAUUUUCAAGCAGCUCAUUCAGUGAGGAACAAAGUGAAGGGAAGUCAACACAAACUGUUAGUAGCGGAGGAUCAGAAUAUUUUGUGGCUGAUUUGAUUCAAACUGGUGCACUCUCUGCUGUGAGGUCCAUUGCUAACUUCAUGUUCCUGAGUGACUAUGAUAAGGAGUGUUGCCAGGCUUAUAUAAAUGCACGGCAGGGUGCAAUAGAUGAGUUCAUUGGGUCUCUGCAUAUUGACAAGCACAGUAUAGCAGAACUUUUGAGCACUAAUUGGACCAAAUUAAGUUCAUUGAUAAGGAAGUGGAACCGGGCAAUGAAGGUUUUUGUUCGAGUCUACCUUGCAAGUGAGAGGCGCCUCAGCAAUCUUGUCUUUGGUAAACUUUCAGAAUCAACUGCAAAUUUGUGCUUCUAUGAGAUUUCAUUUAGCUCAGUCAUGCUGCUCCUGAGCUUUUAUGAAUCUGUAGCAAUUGGGCCUCCUAAACCAGAAAAGCUUUUUCGCAUGCUUGAUAUGUACGAAGUCCUAGAUGAUCUACUCCCUGAAGCAGAGUUCUUGUUUCAAGCAGGGUACGGUGAUAUGGUUUUAACCGAGUACCAUGAAGUCCUACUCAAACUGGGAGAAUCAGCAAGGAAAACAUUUGCAGAAUUCAAGUAUGCCAUCCAAUCCUACACAUCAUCCAGUGCAGUGCCUAGUGGUGCAGUGCAUCCCCUUACAAAGUAUGUUAUGAACUAUAUAAAGGCUGUCACAGUUUACAGUAAAACUCUCGAUUUGCUUCUCAAGGGCAUGGAUCGAAGUUACCACCAUUUCUCCGCUGAUAUUCAGUCCAUGACAAACUCGUACCCUCAUUUCACUGUUACAGCAUUGCAUCUGCAGUCCGUUGCUGCAGUUUUAGAAGCAAAUCUUGAAGCUGGGUCUAGAUUGUACAGAGAUGGCCGAUUGCGGAGCAUCUUUGUGAUGAACAAUAUCUACUACAUGGUCCAGAAAGUGAAGAACUCAGAUCUCAAAAGCUUUCUUGGUGAUGACUGGAUACGGGGGCACAAUCGGAAGGUACAGCAUCAAGCGACGGACUAUGAGAGGGCUUCGUGGAGCCAUGUCCUCUCUUACCUGUGUGACGAUGGCUUAUGUGCUGCCGGAGAUGCUGCGUCUCGUAAAACUAUUAGGGAGAAAUUCAAAAAUUUCAACCAGUCUUUUGAAGAAGUUUAUCGAGUUCAGACAGCAUGGUCUAUCCCAGAUGAUCAACUCCGUGAAGAUGUCAGGAUUUCCAUAUCACUGAAAGUUAUACAGGCCUAUAGGACAUUUGUUGGAAGAUACUCUAGCUUCCUUGAUGGCACAAAGCACCGAGAUCGCUGUCUAAAGUACAGGCCUGAGGAUUUGGAGGAACUUUUGCUGGACCUGUUUGAAGGAACUCAAAAGACAUUGCAGCAUUAAUGCUGAGCUUGAAGCUAAUCUGGAAGAUUAUCAUAUCACGGUUUUUACAUUAUGGAAGAAAAGCACCCCUGGCCUCUACUCACAAAGAUUCAUACAGCCAAGAUAUCAUGUCAAGGUUGCUGUAAAUUUUGCUCUGUAUUAGUUUUUCAAAUGAUACUUCCGUUUAUUUAUUAGAUUUUUUUGCUAUAGUGAUGUUCAUGCUAAAAAAAUGUGUUGAUGUCUUGCGUUUGCCAGAACCUUCAUAACAGGAAGCCUGUAUAGUUUCUUAAUAUAUAUACCUGCCAGUUAUUCUGCAACUGGUUGCAAAAUAUUAUUCUGUGCACCAAAGUCUACUACCUGAUGCUACCAGUACCAAGUAUACUUGUGCACAAUGGUAUUUAUCGUUUUUUGCUUGUUAAAUGUUGACUUCGGGUUUGCUUGUUAUCAUAUCGUACAUGAAAGAUCUCGCUCCAGAGAUCAUAUGGUGCAUAGGCAUGUUAGCCAAACAGAGAUUGGACAUAAUUAAUCUCCUUCCAGAGGACAAGUGUUUACCCUGCCAAGGAUCUAUCCUCUUUGUGAUUUUCUGAAUUAGGGGCAUGAACUGGUCAUUGUUUAAUCUAUGGUCAUCAGUUGGUAUUCCUAAGUAUAUAAAAGGUCAACUCCUCAACUAACUUAACAUGUGAGCAAUUCUUUGCUCCUCCUCCCGUCUGCAACCCAAAACAUAAAAACCGGUUUCUGAAUAUUGUUUUGUUAUUGAUCCAGUUGUCCUUCACUGGUAAUUUUCUGAACAAGUAAGAGCCUUAAAUUGUUUGAAAGAAUUUAGCAAGCUCUCAUUCUGAACACAUACAUCUAUAUACAUCUAUAUACCUCUAGGAAGAUUUUAAUUAGCCUGAACGAAUUUUGGUGUCCUUAAUUAAUUGGAUUAGCAAUGGAUCAUCAAACACUAGCAGGGACGGAGAACUGAUAUAUGUGCGGCUGCUCUGGAGUCUGCACUCUGGUCAUCCUGCGUGCUGGUCGUCGCCCUCCUUCUUGAGGUCAGACGGCGGCAGGAAAUGGUCGGAGGAGAGGCCGUAGACGUUGAAGUCUGCCUCCUCCACCGUCCACGUCUCCUCCAGCUUCCUCUUGUGGUUGACGGAGCCUUCGCCGUAGCGGAAGAGCGUGACGGCGGUCUUCCCGCCGUGCGCGAUGUUGAUGCCGUCGAUGCAGCGGUAGUCGGAGAUGACGGACUCCAUGCUGGUCUCCCAGAAGAUGUUCUCGCUGCGUCUGGCGCCCUUCCCGGACUUCAUCCGGAGCAGGUGCGAGUCCUCGAGCUGGAUCAGCAGCCCCGUCCGCUGGCUGAAGUAUCCCCACACCGUGUGGUGGAUGAUGUCGAACGCCGCCGCGCUCCGCGCCCGCAGCGUCGCCGCGCUCGCCUCCAGCUUCAGGAUGAAGCACUCCUCCCCGUUGAUCACCUUCUCCCCGAUGCACACCGCGUCCGAGAACAGGUUCGCGAUCGACCGCGGGUCCAGGCCCUGCAAAACGGCAAGCAAUAAUCGAUUGGUUGAUCGUUGCAUCUGGAAUGCACGCAUCAUUGACAUUGGCAUUGGUGGAAAACGAUCGAGAUGCGUGCCUGGAGGGAGCGGCGGAGGGGGCGGGGAGGGCCGCGGGAGACAUGGGAGAUCUCGGCGGCGGACUGGCGCCAGGCGACCUUGCCGUCGCUGCCGGCGCUCAUCUUGUGGCCGGCCAUGAUGAGCUCGAAGUACCAGACCUCGGGGCACUUCUGCCAGAGCACGAAGCCGCCCACCUCGGCGCGGCCCUGGGCGGCCGUCACGGUCUGGUCGCCCAGGUGGAACUCGGACGCGCACAUCCGCACUUUGCCCACCGCGUACAUGCUCUGCACGCUCUGCAGCGCCGCCUGCCCGCCCGUCGCCGCGAUGUACUGCUGCAUGAUGUACUUGGCCGUCGACGCUUGCUUCACAAAACACAAACACACGCACGUCAUGGAUUUCAUUCAUUCAUCCUUGCCGUUCUGUACUGUACGUACAAAAUGGAACAUGGCUUGCGAUCACCCGAUUUGCUUACGAUGGAGGAGUCGCGGAUGGAGCGGCUGAAGGCGCGGUCGUGGGGGACGGGGCAGGGGACGAGCGGGGAGCCGACGACGUUGAGGAAGAGCUGGAGCUCGGCGUUGGCGGCGGCGGCGGCGGGGCCCUCGGCGGUGGCGCGGUCGAAGGCCUGGGUCUUGAGCCAGGCGCGCAUGUUGGCGCCCCGGCGCUUGUCGGAGCCGGGGGCGUUGGCGAGCAUCUCGUCGGGGAUGGGCACCUCCAGCACCGUGUCCAGGGAGUCGUCGCGGUCAUGGUUCGGGCACAGCUUCCUCAUCAGGCCACGCGGGCAUCAACGGCCGGCGACCGGAACUGGAAAGACGGAUGAGAGAAACAAGGGGAGGGAGGAACGAGAGGGGGAAAAGGAAAGGGCAUGUUGAAGCGGACGCCAUGCAUUGGAAGCGAGGAAUUAGUGGAUCGCGCGGAGCCCGGAGGCUGAGGAGAGGCGCGGGUGCUACAUUGAAAUGGAGCCAAACUCUCCCAGAGAGCCCGUGCCCAUGUUUGACACGCGUCCAUCCGUGCCAUGCGUGAUGCGUUUGCAUAUAUAGGAAACGGAGUUUCCUGUGCAUGAUCGAUCUGCGCAUGCAAUUUCCAGCAAUUUACCUGGACCGGUUAAUUGGUGGAUUUGUUUUGCAUGAAACAGAUUCCAGUGCGUGAUCGCAACACUGGUAUUAACAUACGAACCUGAAGCUCAUGGCCUUCUUCCAGGCAAAGAAAUCAAACUCCAUAUAUAAACAUGAGCUAAUCAAAUUACGAACAUCUGAACAUGAAAGGCGUACACAGACAAAGAUCGAAGCAGAAUAACCAUUACAUCUCCACCAGAGCAACAAAACAUAAAGGGAAAAAAAUGUGCUACGUGACGCCACUUAAUAUAUGGUCCAAUUGAUCACUGCACCAAGAAAGCAAGGAUGGAUGCAACGCCGAGGAGACCACGGAGACCAACGAACGCAGCAGCAGCACGAGGAGGAGCGUCGUUCUCCGGGCUCAACGUGUUCGCCGCAGGGCCGUACGCGCCGAUCGGUGUCGUGAAGCUCCCUCCCAUGCCGGGCGUAGUCGGGGAAGAAGAACUCGUGCCGUUCCCCGUCCCUGCAGCACUGUACAUACAAUGCACAGAAGCCAACCACAUAGUUCAGUACACAAGGAUCGGAAACAGAUGGAAAGUUGGAGAUUACUAGUACAGUAGUACGUACCUCGGAGUUGCAGGGUACUUGCAAGUUCCGGAGCCUGCACAACACAAGUUACUAAGUUAGGAAUCAACACGCCGGCCACCGUGAGAUCGAGGAAAUUAAUUGAGAUGCCGAGUCCAGUCUACUGAAAUCUGUGAUCGGCGCACGUACUGGGGUCUGUGGAGGAGAGGGUGGCUGUGCCGCCGAAGUCGCAGCCGGUGGCGCCCUGGGUCUGGCUGUUCCGCUGGUAGUAGCUGUUUGCCGCGUAGGAGCAGUGCGCCGCCACCGAGUCCGGGCUGUGGCAGCUGCCCCCCGUCAGCACCGGGGCGCAGUCCGCGUCGUGCCCGCACGCGUAGUCCAGCGUCUUCUGCAGCGCCUCCUCCGUCGCGUUCGGCCUGCACACGCACCACGCCGCGCCUGAUCCUCGCAAUGGAACGGCCACCAACACCAGCAGCAACACCACCGGAGGCAUCGUCAUCGAGCAGCAAGCAAUUUCUUUCUCUCUGGCUCGUCGACGACGCUGGUAGUUGUACGUGGGCAGUGGUGGCGAUCGAGAGCGGCUUACUUUGCCUCGUACUUAUUGGCCGUUCGGCGCGACGUCGACGCCCUCUUUUUUGCCCCCCUCCUCGUUCCUUUUUCGCUCUUUCCGACCAUUUUCCGCAGGGUGUCGACUUUGGGCCGAGCCGCUGUGUUUUCUUCGACGCGAAGUUUGCGUUCCCGACCCAUAUUGCAGAGACACCUGUGGGUUUCUUCGGGCUGUUCUAGGCCUGGUUUAUGGUCGACCGAGCCACCGUGCUCCAAAGUGAAGGGCUAAAGGCGAGGGAAAGUAGCAAAGCUGCAAAGUUGUUUGUGUGCUGUGCUGCUGUUCAUCCUAGUGGUAGUGCUUAACAGAGAGCCCCUGUUUGUUUUUGGAGGAAAAAUAAAGGUAAAGCUGUAUCAAUCAUUGUACAUGCCCUCAUAUGAUAGAUACGUUCUUUUGUACAAGAGAAAAAGGGCGCAUGUGAUCCUGCAUAUACUCGGUAGGCCUGAACUUGUACCUGUGAUGCUUUUAUCAAGUACCAUGAGUCACCAUGCUUAGGUGUUGAGUUGAAUAUUCAGCUCAACACAUUUUUGCUUUUGAUUCGUAAGGAAGGCCUUGCAGAUUCUUCUUAGCAUCAUGACAAAUUAACCACCAAAUUUUAUUUUACUUCUUCAGGGGUCUUAGCUUUCCAAAGGUGUUCAAAAGAUCAUUUCAAUUGGCAAUCCCCUUUUACAGAAAGAAAGAAAAAUAGGUCUGUACAUGGAUUCGAUUGUGAAUUUCCCAGAUUUUUGUCCAACGCAUUUAUUUAUUUUUAGUUUUGGAGUUGCUAACCACGUAGUUCAGACUGUUUGUCCAACGCAAUUUAGGAACAUCAGUUCCAUUAACAAGCAGACAUCUGCGUUGCCCAACAUAUCAACUGUAACAUCUCCGGUCUAGUACAAACGGACCAUGAAUUUAUCAUGGUUACAGCAAAUUUGAACUUAUCAGAAGCAACAUCUGACAACAUAUUAACGCUCAGAUACGGAAAGAUAAAAUUUAUUAUGAAAGUUCUCAAGACCAGAGCACGCGAAUGCUCAUUUCAGUACAAGAUUAGACAGGAUCACGAGCAUCACCACAACACAAGCCUGAACAGACUCAACAUCCAGGACACAUCACAACAACACACACCUGGGAAAGCAAACAUCGUGACACAAAUUGGCUUAUUUCAUGGCCGCGGAGAAACCUGCCUAGAAACUAGUUUAAGAUGAUGGCUUCAUCAGUGCAGCAACCUUCUGGACAGAUGGCUUAGCAAGCAUGUCAGACCACCAGGCUUUCACAUGUGGAUAGGCGUCGAACAAGGAAGCAUAGGGUGUAGCCGCCAAGCAUAGGGUCGCAGAAACAUGGUUAAGGUCUGCAAGACUGAGGAAGUCUCCAGCCAAGUACUUGCACUUGGUCAGGCGUGCCUCAUACACCUCCAGCACCUUCUUCAGUUUCACAAGGUUUUCGUCAAUGACUUUCUGGUCAGUGGCUCCCCCGAGCAUAGGAUGGAUGAGGCACUCAAAGAGAAUGGGGCUCAGCGCGGAAGUGUACUGAUGGGCCUCCACCUCGAGCCACACAUCCACCAUUGCUGACUCCUCGAGGUUGCCCUCCUUCAGCAGCUCUGGUUUGUUCUUGCGGCAUGCAUACUUGCAAAUAGCACGGGAUUCUAACAGGAAGAGAAAAACAACAAAACCAGAGUUAUGAUAAUCAACACGUUGGUAAAUACCCAAGGAUUCCAAAGUUGUAUGGUACUAAUUUAUCCUGGUUAAAUAAAUUGAUCGAAGACUAACAAAACAAUGACAAAACCCCUAACAUUUCUAAACUUGAUUAAAUUUGAAAUGAUAACUACAUACAUAUAUGAUGAGAAUUCAAAUAGCAAACAUAUAAGCAUUUGCCAGAAACUUAUGUUCCUUUUUCAUUCUGAAACAGAAUAAAGCUCAUGUUUGGUCAUUAUAUUACUUCACAAUUCUGAAAAAAAGCAUACAAGAGCAAGUUGAUGAAUAUUCAAGUACAUAUUGCUAUAUUCAUUUAUUAAAUUUCAGGUGAUGUUUUGACCAGAAUGGCAACAGCCUCACAGCACUUAUGGAAAUGAUAACGUGCUGCUCUAUGCUUGGUCCUUCCUGAUCAAUUACUACUCUGGUUUCUAUCAGCAGCAUAAUAAGAAAAACUAUAAAAAAAAUUGACGGGCUAAAACUAUAAUUAUAUUGACCAAGUGGAAAUAUUGAACAGCAUGACAACCAAGCCCGAAAAUUAUACUCCUCGUAACAUAAUGACAAACAAACAAAUACACAUAAUUGGUUUUUUUAAUCAUGUCGUCAUAAUGCAAGUGAAGCUGAUCCUGUGCUUCGAGUAAAAUGUCAGGUAUUCCUCCGUCCAACAAAAGAUGUCUCAAGUUUGUCAAAAUUUGGAUGUAUCUAGACAUGACUUAGUGUAUAGAUGCAUUCAAAUUUGGUCAAAGUUGAGACAUCUUUUGUUGGACGGAGGGAGUACCAUUUUCUCCCAUGUGGAAAUGCCAGGUUUAUUAUGUUAGGAAAUAAGGCAACACUAUAAACAACAAAAUAAACUAUCACAACUAAAUAUUGUAAAAGCAUCACGACCUUUUGUAGUUCUAUUUAUGAGGGUAGGAACAAAGAAAACAUAUAAAGAGAUAGCAUCAUACCCCAAACGUACAAGUCACCAUCCUGCAAAGCUGGCACUUGACCAAAGGGCUGCAGAGAACCAUAUGAAGAAAGUGAGUUUUGACAAUCAGAUGCCACACCUCUAAAACCAGGAACAUGUCACAGUUGCUAUGACACUAAGAUCCGUUGCCCAAAAGUUAUGACAUUAUGAUAACACUCUUAAGGGAAAAGACUCCCAUUGUUCUACAGAUAAACACAUGCUUCUUUGACUUAAAAAAUGGUGAUACAUGCUAGCAAACAGUCAAGUUGCUCUAUCAUAAAACAGUUGAAAAUAUAUAUACAUUAAAAAUAUCUCGUAAUAGCAAAAUAAUCGUAUAAAUAUGUACUUUGACGUUCAAAAUACAUGGCUAAUUUCACAUUCAAAAAAUUUGUAGCUACGAUAGGGCCAAACAAAUUUGCCUGAAAAGUUCAGCUUAAACAGGCAAUACAGGCUUAGAAUUACCCCUAUGUUUGCCGGUCUGAAAUUUAGAUGGCAUCAAUCUUCAAAACUGAUAGAAUAGCAGGGAAGAAGUUAUCAGGUGCAUGCUUCUUAUAAUGUGUGGCUGGAAAGUCUGUGGCUUCAUGGGGGUUGGGUUGGGGGGGGGGGGGGGGGUGCUGGUGGUGCUAAUUGCAGACCCAUUCUUUUGCUCCUAAAUCCUAAUGUCCGAUUAUUAAUACGGUUAGUCUAGCAGUUGACUUUUGGGUACUCCAGACUCUCAUAAACAAGGCUUGUUUUGAUAACAAGUAGAUUAGGUCUACAGCUGAGAUCAUAUGUUAUAUGUUGCAUGUGUUCGUCUCUGUCAAGGCUUCACAACGACGAAAAUAAACAGGCAGUGUUGAGUGCUUCUACUUUUAUCGUGCAGACUGAAGCAUUGGGUGAACACUCCCGGGUGACUCAUGGACAUGAUGCAAGGGAAACGCUUAUGCUCAGGAUAACUCAUGGAAGCGAUGCUGAUGGGACGUCUAUCAUGCUGUCUCCAUGAUGCUGCUAUGGAACCAAAAAUAAGUGCACUGGGCUGCAAUUUAAUUUAUAUGGUAAUCUGAAUAGUGGCUGCCUUUUGCUUUGCUUUGCGUUCUGCUGGUAGUUCUCUGAGCAUUAACAGGUUGCUUGGGGCUCCUGGGUUGAUGCUGGGUGACUAAACAAGUAAGCACCGACAUGUUUGAAGAGAAAAAAAAAACAUCUAGAUCUCGUUUUCCACAUUUUAGUCCAAAACUUGCAGUUACUAGCAGUACAAGGUCUGCGAGUAAUAGGGUGAGUGGCGUCGGUGCUGUGUGCAGGAAGUGUGGAUCUGGGGAAGAUAAGUUUUUCUAAAGUGCAACUUGGCUAAAGUCAACUGACUAAAGAUUUAGGUCACCACGUGGUCCACGCCCAAGUGGUUGGCCAAUCUGAAACAACCCAUGAAAAAUCCACAUUUUAAAUUCCUUGAGACUGAGAUGUGCCAAUUGUGAAACAAAGUUUAAUGACCCAUCGAUGCCUAGUCUUGAAUCUUAAAUUCGUUAAAUAAUUUCUUGAGAGAUAAUAAUUCGUUAAAUUAACAGUGAGAGAUUACGGACGACAGCAAAAUCUCUCCAAAUAACAGUGGUAAGAGAUAUGGAACCGACCCCUCUCGCCGAGUUUACUUUUCGUUUUGCCGACCGCAGCACGAGAACGAAAUCAUUAAAACUGGAAGUAUCUAUGGAGGGCAAGGAGACAGGAGCGGCGCGCGCAGCGAUUUAGGGUACGUACGUUCCUGGCGACGUGCUCGGGGCUCUUGUGCUCGCCGGUGCCGAAGUUGAUGGGCACGAGCUCGUACUCGACGCCGGCCUCCUCCAGGGCCGCCACGCACCUCGUCACGUUCCACGACAGGGUCGGGCCGUACAGCUUCACCGGAGCCAUCGCUAAUCCCUUCUCACUCUCUCUCAAACCCCUCUCCUCUGCUCUCUUUCUCUCCUUCUCUCUGGGCAAAGAGUCUCGAUGGGUGGAGAAGAGCACGCUUGGGCCCCGGUUUAAUAGGCAGUGGUGGACUGGAAGACGGGAACAGAACAGAUGCGGCCGGCCGCGGAGUGGGUGCCGGGUAGCCGGUAGCGGUAGGUGAGGUGCGCGGUGGGUCAAUGGCAGCAGCUUCCGUUUCUUUAACCAUUUCAAGUACUACCAGUACUUGGAUAAUUAGUUUCCUGUGCUGAUUAGUCGUAUCGUGACCCUCCGUUAAGUUUAUUUAGCGACAGACGCAAGUGCUGACGCUCGAUUAGAAUUUGCUCCACCGAGGCAGGGAGAUGUGCGUGUCUCCUUUCCCCGUCAAUUUUCAUUUUAGUUUAGUUCACUGUAUAGUUGAGUAUCGUCCUUCCGAGGUUGUUUAUUUAGGAACAUCUGGUCUCACACGCCACUUAGUCUCACACACAAGUACUCACGACGUCUACUUAUCAUUAGUAAUUGUAGUCCUGUGCAUCAGCUUCAAACAUAGCAGCCGCAGCCGGCCACACACACUUCCGGAGUUCUCGGUUGAUUGGUGCGAGGCAAUGUCCCCUCCUUAUCCGUCCGCCACUCAGCCGGCGGGAAGAAUGUGGAUCCUGGAUCUACGUUACGACAUGGUAUUAAGGUUUUUGACAAAAAAAACUAAGGGGGGGGGGGGGGGGGGGGGGGUGGGGGGAAGAAGAAAACCUUUCUCACACAGACCUAGAAAAUCCCCCCUCAUGGCCCACCCGUACACAGCGGCACCGCGGCGUCACGUGAGAUCAAAGCCGGCUUUGACCUGUGCUUUGUUAUGGGACAGACGAGGGGAUUUUUUUAACCCUCCGGCCUGAAAUUCGCUCCCAAUGGGAGUCGAACCCAGGACCAAAGGGGUGCCACUAGAGCCUCUAUGUUGGAUGGUGCAAUAUAAUAGGCUUUCUGACUAUUGAUCCCUCUCGUCGUCAACUAAUUUCGUCGGAGGCGUAAAAGAUGGUGAGAGUAUUUGGUCGUUGCUAGUAAUUCAACGAAUGUUUUUUGUGUAGGGUACGUUUUUUCAUUUAGACUUUCGUUUUUGUCUAUUGGGCCCUAAUUUUUGAAAAUCUAGUGCUAGUUGUAUAUGUGGAAUGGAUAUCAGGUCUGAAUUGGUCUAACUUUUGAAUGUGUUGGAAGACUCCCCCCACCCCAAAAAAAAAUGUGUAGGAAGACAUAUCUAAGAUGUUUGACUUUGUCCUAAAUUAUUUUUAAUUUUUUUAAUUUUUUUAAUUUAUAGACUUUUAUUCGUCAUGAUAUAUAUUUUCAUACGUCCUCCGUCCAACAAAAGAUAUCUCAAGUUUAUCAAAUUUUGGAUGUACGUAGACAUGAAUUAGUGUAUAGAUGCAUUCAAAUUUAGUCAAAGAGGAUACAUUAUUUAUUGGACGGAGGAAGUAAUAUAUUUAUCAUCCACCUUUUUGUCUCCACGGCUAGUCCUAUCCUCAACCUUUGUCCACCUUUUUGUCUCCAUGGCUAGUCCUGUCCUCAACCUUUGUGCGCAUCAGAUUGCUACUGGCCGGUGUUUUUGCUCCUAUCAUAGACGAAAGAGAUGUUUAUGGUUUAUCUCGUGAAACGAACACGGCACACCAUCCUACUUUUGUCCAAACAGAACGAAGGGUCGACUCGUCCUCGUGGUCCAUAACACUGUUCUUAACGAAAACAGAAGAUUGACAUUUAAUAUGUCCUGGCCGGGAUAUACAGAGAAAACUCUAGAACUUGCACGAUCCAUUCUUAGGUGAAACAUCACAAAGCACAGGACAAGAGUACUGCAUUACGGGAUCAAUAUUUCCUUGGAAAUUUUCUGGAUAACUCAGCAAUGAUGUGCUAGUUGUUUCGACUUGUCAUCAGUCGCGGAAUCGCCAAACAACCAAGAGAAGCUCCCUGAGUGUCACAAUGCAUUACUUUUGGCAGGGCGUGUCCCCAAAAGCACAUGUCGAUAAUGGAAGUGGAAAAAGAAAGGAAAACUUAUGCUUGGAGCGUAAGCAGGUAGCUCGAAUGAUAGAUGACAGAAGUUGGAGUAGGUUGUCGGCGCAAUGCAAAGAGGUUCCGUACCCGAGUUUGAUGUAAUGGCGAUUUUUAAUGUUUCCCGGGUUAAAAUGUUUAUCUCCUCUGGAUUAAGUGUCAAUUUAGAAUAGUUUUUUAAAAGGUGUAGCCCACAGUACCUGCAUAUGCUCACGUAGGGAACGAUCUGAUUUUAUUGAUUCAAAUCGAUACAUGAUACAAAUAACAAAGAUACUCAACAAAAUUAAAAGAUUCAUUGUAGUCCUUCGGAAUAAACUUCUCUUAAUCCAUCAUUUACAUCUUGAUACUUCUCCACGUAAUCGUUGACAAAAUUGCAGGAUACCACGCUUGCACAAGCUGAACUAACUUCAAAGGUUUUGAAAAGCCACAUGAGCCGCCAGCUCAAACGGUG
rnacentral:lncRNA from 1 species